AUUGAACGCUGGCGGCAUGCCUUACACAUGCAAGUCGAACGGCAGCACGGGAGUAAUCCUUGGGGCGAGUGGCGAACGGGUGAGUAAAGCAUCGGAACGUGCCCAGUCGUGGGGGAUAACGUAGCGAAAGCUACGCUAAUACCGCAUACGAUCUGUGGAUGAAAGCGGGGGACCGUAAGGCCUCGCGCGAUUGGAGCGGCCGAUGUCAGAUUAGGUAGUUGGUGAGGUAAAGGCUCACCAAGCCGACGAUCUGUAGCUGGUCUGAGAGGACGACCAGCCACACUGGAACUGAGACACGGCCCAGACUCCUACGGGAGGCAGCAGUGGGGAAUUUUGGACAAUGGGCGCAAGCCUGAUCCAGCAAUGCCGCGUGCAGGAUGAAGGCCUUCGGGUUGUAAACUGCUUUUGUACGGAGCGAAAAGGCUUCAACUAAUACUGGGGGCUCAUGACGGUACCGUAAGAAUAAGCACCGGCUAACUACGUG
rnacentral:rRNA from 1 species